AUUGAACGCUGGCGGCAGGCCUAACACAUGCAAGUCGAGCGAGCGGCGGACGGGUGAGUAAUGUAUGGGGACUGCCCGAUAGAGGGGGAUAACUACUGGAAACGGUGGCUAAUACCGCAUACUAUCGGAUAACCCAUAUGGGAUUAGCUAGUCGGUGGGGUAAAGGCUCACCUAGGCGACGAUCUCUAGCUGGUCUGAGAGGAUGAUCAGCCACACUGGGAAUGAUACACGGCCCAGACUCCGACGGAGGCAGCAGUUGGUAAUAUUGCACCAUGGGCGCAAGCCUGAUGCAGCCCUGCCGCGUGUAUGAAGAAGGCCUUAGGGUUGUAAAGUAGUUUCCGCGGGGAUGCGUUACCCGAAGAAGAAGAACCGGCGAACUCCGUGCCAGCAGCCGCGGUAAUAC
rnacentral:rRNA from 1 species